rnacentral:rRNA from 1 species
UACAGAGACUGCGAGCGUUAUUCGGAUUCACUGGGCGUAAAGGGCGUGUAGGCGGUCCGCUAAGUCUGAUGUGAAAGCCCGGGGCUCAACCCCGGAAUUGCACCUCAAACUACAUGGCUAGAGCAUUGGAGAGGGUAGCAGAAUUCAUGGUGUAGCAGUGAAAUGCGUAGAUAUCAUGAGGAAUACCAGAGGCGAAGGCGGCUACCUGGACAAUUGCUGACGCUCAGGCACGAAAGCGUGGGGAGCAAAAGGG